UAAGAAGUCGUAACAAGGUCUCCGUUGGUGAACCAGCGGAGGGAUCAUUA
rnacentral:rRNA from 1 species